GAGGGUGAAGCUCAGUGUAAGAGCAUAUGCUUAGUGUGCACGAGGGCCUGGGUUCGAUCCCCAGCCCCA
rnacentral:tRNA from 1 species